rnacentral:sRNA from 1 species
UAGGAACCAGAGGGCAUCAUAACAGCCCCUA